rnacentral:lncRNA from 1 species
AGGCUUCUUUUGUUGCACACAAGCACCCAAACUAGCUUCUCUCAAACCACGCCUCAAGGUGAUGUCUGAGAAGUGUUUACCUAUUUUUUCUUGAAGUUGUUUUGCAGCUGCACUUGCCAUUUUGAGACAAUCAGAAGUGACAAGGUACACACCAAGUCGCUUCUCUUGCUCUCCUAAAACCUUUGGACGUCCUCUUCUUUACUUUUCUAUUUCACCACUAAUCUCCUUCCUUAGAUGAGCUACUGAAGACUGAUUCAUUCCAAGUGAGUCUGCAACUUUUCUUGUAGAAACACCACUCCUAAGCUGCACCAAUGCUUGGUGCUUCAAUGAUUCACACAACUGAGGCAUAGAGAUACAAUUGACAAAUCAACUUUCACUAUAGAUAGUACACAACAAGAGCAACACAACAAACAAAAAAUACCCUCAAAUC